AUUAAUGUAAAUAAAUGUAAAUUAAAGAAUGUUAAAAUAUAGUAAACCUAUAUUUUGGAUUAUAAGAAAUAUAUUUUAAGAACAUCAUUAGAUAACAUAAGAUUUCUAUUAACUCGCCCAAAGCUGUUGAAAUCCUGGGAAAAGGCUGUCAAAAGAAAAAAUCGGAAAGAAACUGUUUAGUAUUGAUUCUUUGCAGUAAACAUUUAUCUGAUGGCACAACGAUGAAGUUUAAGUUAAGUUAGAUAAGACUUGGAGCACUUGUCAAGCUCCUUAAAGAUGACGCUGUGCUCACCGAUUAUGUACAGCAGUUCAGAAAAAAAAAACGCCGCCGUGGACAACUUUUCUAUGGAUAGCCUGAUAUUGUUGAGACUCCAAUUGAACCCAUGGAGAUUAAGACGCCAAGACAAAGCACAGGGAAAAUCAAACGGACAUCAGCCAAAUCCACCACAGCAAACACACUCAAAUUGAUAGUUCAGUUUCUCCAAUGAAAAAAACUCCAAAUGUAAUGAUCUAAGACUUGGAUAAAAGAAGAUUCACUUUGUUUUUGUCAAAUG